GAUUCAGGAGACUUGUACACGGUCCAGCAGGAGACUUGUACACGGUCCAGAUUGAAUGGCUUAGUGAGGUCAUAGAGGGUGAGAAUCCUUACUUCCUCUAAAAUGACCAAGAAUCCUUGUUAGUUUCUUUUCCUCCGCUUAUUGAUAUGCUUAAGUUCAGCGGGUAGUCCUACCUGAUUUGAGAUCAGAUCAUAAAUAUUGAUUGUCCAAGUCAAUGGACUAUUAGAAGCGGUUCAUCUGCAUUUACCUUGGCCACCCCUCCCAAACUCUUUUUACAGAGUAGAAAAAGUGUCCUCAGCGAUAGAUAACUUAUCACGCUGAGUGGAACCAAGCAUAACACUGAGAUCCAGCUAAUGAACAAAGAGGAGCAGGUGUGAAGCUGCAAUAGACCUCCAAUACCAAAGCAAAACCAAUUGAAUUAACAAAAGAUAUUACUUUGAAGAUUUCAUGAUACUCAAACAGGCAUGCUCCAAGGAAUACCAAGGAGCGCAAGGUGCGUUCAAAGAUUCGAUGAUUCACUGAAUUCUGCAAUUCACAUUACUUAUCGCAUUUCGCUGCGUUCUUCAUCGAUGCGAGAGCCAAGAGAUCCGUUGUUGAAACUUAGUAUUAGAUGUGUUACAUCCAUUACAUUCAUUUUAAAAUAAAUUGAGUUUAUAUUAAUUAAGUAGACAGAGA
rnacentral:misc_RNA from 1 species